rnacentral:rRNA from 1 species
CUGCCCGGUGCUCGAAGGUUAAUUGAUGGGGUUAGCAUUAGCGAAGCUCUUGAUCGAAGCCCGAGUAAACGGCGGCCGUAACUAUAACGGUCCUAAGGUAGCGAAAUUCCUUGUCGGUUAAAUACCGACCUGCAUGAAUGGCGUAACGAGAUGGGAGCUGUCUCAAAGAGGGAUCCAGUGAAAUUGUAGUGGAGGUGAAAAUUCCUCCUACCCGCGGCAAGACGGAAAGACCCCGUGGACCUUUACUACAGCUUGACACUGCUAUUUGGAUAAGAAUGUGCAGGAUAGGUGGGAGGCUUUGAGUAUAUGACGCCAGUUGUAUAUGAGCCAUUGUUGAGAUACCACUCUUUCUUAUUUGGGUAGCUAACCAGCUUGAGUUAUCCUCAAGUGGGACAAUGUCUGGUGGGUAGUUUGACUGGGGCGGUCGCCUCCCAAAUAAUAACGGAGGCUUACAAAGGUUGGCU